AUUGAACGCUGGCGGCAUGCCUUACACAUGCAAGUCGAACGGCAGCAUGAUCUAGCUUGCUCGAUUGAUGGCGAGUGGCGAACGGGUGAGUAAUACAUCGGAACGUGCCCUGUAGUGGGGGAUAACUAGUCGAAAGAUUAGCUAAUACCGCAUACGACCUGAGGGUGAAAGUGGGGGACCGCAAGGCCUCAUGCUAUAGGAGCGGCCGAUGUCUGAUUAGCUAGUUGGUGAGGUAAAGGCUCACCAAGGCGACGAUCAGUAGCUGGUCUGAGAGGACGAUCAGCCACACUGGGACUGAGACACGGCCCAGACUCCUACGGGAGGCAGCAGUGGGGAAUUUUGGACAAUGGGCGAAAGCCUGAUCCAGCAAUGCCGCGUGUGUGAAGAAGGCCUUCGGGUUGUAAAGCACUUUUGUCCGGAAAGAAAUGGCUCUGGUUAGUACCUGGGGUCGAUGACGGUACCGGAAGAAUAAGGACCGGCUAACUACGUG
rnacentral:rRNA from 1 species